rnacentral:rRNA from 1 species
UAAGGAAUAUUGCGCAAUGGGCGAAAGCCUGACGCAGCGACGCCGCGUGGGGGAUGAAGGUCUUCGGAUUGUAAACCCCUUUCGGGAGGGAAGAUGGAAUGGGGUAACCCAUUUGGACGGUACCUCCAGAAGCAGCCACGGCUAACUUCGUGCCAGCAGCCACGGUAAUACGAAGGUGGCAAGCGUUAUUCGGAUUUACUGGGCGUACGGGGAGCGUAGGCGGUUCGGUAAGCCCUUUGUGAAAUCUUCAGGCUUAACCUGGAAAAGUCGGAGGGGACUGCCGGGCUAGAGGACGGGAGAGGAGCGCGGAAUUCCCGGUGUAGCGGUGAAAUGCGUAGAGAUCGGGAGGAAGGCCGGCGGCGAAGGCGGCGCUCUGGAACGUUUCUGACGCUGAGGCUCGAAAGCGUGGGGAGCAAACAGGAUUAGAUACCCUGGUAGUCCACGCCUUAAACUAUGAAUACUAAGUGUCGGCGGGUUACCGCCGGUGCCGCAGCUAACGCAUUAAGUAUUCCGCCUGGGAAGUACGGCCGCAAGGUUG